UAAGGUUCGCAAGACAUUAUCCUGCAUCUCCUAAAUGCAACUCAGGCGCUUUAAUUAAGCUAGAACCUUU
rnacentral:tRNA from 1 species